AAAUGUUAUUAGGAAAAGAAUAGAAGCAGAGAGACAAGCUAGGAGGUCAUCUGCAGUAGUCUCCAAAAGAGGUAUGCCAAGUCUACCAGACAAGACUGUUACAAUAGAAGAGAGAAAGACUGAACUCACCUCCUCUGAAACAUAAGCUGCAUGUUGGAGGUCUCUUGCUAAAGGGUGGAAAGACCUGGA